UACGAAGGGGGGCUAGCGUUGCUCGGAAUCACUGGGCGUAAAGGGCGCGUAGGCGGCCAUUCAAGUCGGGGGUGAAAGCCUGUGGCUCAACCACAGAAUUGCCUUCGAUACUGUUUGGCUUGAGUUUGGUAGAGGUUGGUGGAACUGCGAGUGUAGAGGUGAAAUUCGUAGAUAUUCGCAAGAACACCAGUGGCGAAGGCGGCCAACUGGACCAAUACUGACGCUGAGGCGGCGAAAGCGUGGGGAGCAAACAGG
rnacentral:rRNA from 1 species